GUCAUUCUGGCGGAGUGGUUAACGCGCUGCCCUGCUAAUAAUAAUAAUCACAAAGUUAGCCUGCUAGGCAGUUCCUUCGGGAGCAUAGGUUCGAAUCCUAUGGGUGACG